GUUUCACCUCAAAAGCAGUUACCUUGCCCAAUUUACUAAUCCUUUCUUGUUAGUUUAAUUGAAUUAUGCUGCAGGCUUUGCUGCAUUAUCUGAAGAGAAUCUCACUCGAGGAGGAGAGGGGGAGGAAAGCGAGGCACGGUCAUGCAAGGAUGCAACCUUUUGCAGAAAAUGCAGAGCUCAUCAAUGUUUAUCCACCACUGCUGGAGCGCAUUAAAGGUGUGAGACAAGCUCUAAUGGGGAAGCAGAGAACAGUGAAGGUAUGCAUGUACAAACCAUCUUGACUCUUGUCAUGCUAGUCUGUACCUUUUCAAUUGUUUAAAGUUUAAACUCAAAAGCACAUUGGCCAUCACCAUUCUACCCAUUUGAUGCUUUGCUGCCACAGUAAGCAUGCUCCUCUGCAAUCUGUGUGACUCAAAACUAAUGCCACAAUUUUGGGCAGAGUAGAUGUGAGAUGUGUGCCAGUACAAACUGGCAUCAAGUCCUCAUUUAAGCUUCCUCGAGUGACAGAGAGAAACUCUAUGAUUUAGCUGACUCGACAUGAUAGAUGUAUUCUUUCCUCUAUCUUGGAAAGGUAGUACAAGACAUUCCAGAUACAUAGGCUACUCACCACAAUACUUGGAGUUUUGUUAGCAACAGGAUGCUAAUAUUCCAUGACAACUAACCUGGUCCAUGUUCACAUAAACAAAUACUGUUUCUGGACUUGUACAGACCUAUGCUGUGUGUCUGCAAUACCAGGCUGUGUAGACAAGAAGAUGCACAAAAGUGUGGCCCAUUGCAUUUAUAAUGCAUAGCUGCUUUGUUCAUAGGUUCUUAAUGCCAGUGAAGUAAGAUCAUCUGGAAACAGAGACUCUUUUUGUGAAUGUAGGGAACAUUACCUACAAUUUAGGGCAAAGGAACACUGUUGUUUGUGUGCAGAAACAAGAGACACCAGAGACACUGAUCCAGUGCACUGUGGUUAAAUGCACUCAAACAAAUACUUUAUUGGCUGUGUGUGUACCUGUAAGGUAAACCUAGUAAAAGUAGAGGUGGCAAGUGCUGAGUACUAAAAGGUUUGUUGUAACAUUGGAAUGGAAUUAAAUGUCUGCUUUUAGAUCCUCCAUAGAUCAUAUUUUUGUCUGUGGGAAAAAGAUUGAGAUGUCAACUUCUGCAGGGAGAUUUUGGCAGAGGGAUUUGAGGCAAGGGGCUAUAAUAAUGGAAUGAAAUUAAUGUUUUACAUAUUUCUUCAUGGUUUA